rnacentral:rRNA from 1 species
UACGAAGGGGGCUAGCGUUGCUCGGAAUCACUGGGCGUAAAGCGCACGUAGGCGGUCUUUUAAGUCAGGGGUGAAAUCCUGGAGCUCAACUCCAGAACUGCCUUUGAUACUGAGAGACUUGAGUCCAGGAGAGGUGAGUGGAACUGCGAGUGUAGAGGUGAAAUUCGUAGAUAUUCGCAAGAACACCAGUGGCGAAGGCGGCUCACUGGCCCGGUACUGACGCUGAGGUGCGAAAGCGUGGGGAGCAAACAGG